rnacentral:rRNA from 1 species
UACGGGGGGGGCAAGCGUUGUUCGGAAUUACUGGGCGUAAAGGGCGCGUAGGCGGCCUGCUAAGUCGGACGUGAAAUCCCUCGGCUCAACCGGGGAACUGCGUCCGAUACUGGUGGGCUCGAAUCCGGGAGAGGGAUGUGGAAUUCCAGGUGUAGCGGUGAAAUGCGUAGAUAUCUGGAGGAACACCGGUGGCGAAGGCGGCAUCCUGGACCGGUAUUGACGCUGAUGCGCGAAAGCCAGGGGAGCAAAGCGGG